rfam:TPA: Bos taurus chromosome 9, whole genome shotgun sequence.
UCCCUUGUGGCUCAGACAUAAAGCGUCUGCCUACAAUGCAGGAGACCCAGGUUCGAUCCCUGGGUCAGGAA